UUAAUUGUUCAGAGUAGGGCUAAAUCCAGGGUGUUUCCACUAAUGUGAGUUGAACCCUGAAUGCAUUGCUGGAAUCCUAAUGCAUAUAUAAUGUCUAUGAAUGAUUUGCAGAGGGGGUCAGAA